rnacentral:rRNA from 1 species
GAGUUUGAUCCUGGCUCAGGUUGAACGCUGGCGGCAUGCUUUACACAUGCAAGUCGAACGGCAGCACGGGUGCUUGCACCUGGUGGCGAGUGGCGAACGGGUGAGUAAUAUAUCGGAACGUACCCGGAAAUGGGGGAUAACGUAGCGAAAGUUACGCUAAUACCGCAUAUGCCCUGAGGGGGAAAGCGGGGGAUUCGUAAGAACCUCGCGUUUUCGGAGCGGCCGAUAUCGGAUUAGCUAGUAGGUGAGGUAAAGGCUCACCUAGGCGACGAUCCGUAGCUGGUCUGAGAGGACGACCAGCCACACUGGAACUGAGACACGGUCCAGACUCCUACGGGAGGCAGCAGUGGGGAAUUUUGGACAAUGGGCGCAAGCCUGAUCCAGCCAUGCCGCGUGAGUGAAGAAGGCCUUCGGGUUGUAAAGCUCUUUCAGCCGGAAAGAAAACACACAAGUUAAUACCCUGUGUGGAUGACGGUACCGGAAGAAGAAGCACCGGCUAACUACAC